rnacentral:rRNA from 1 species
GACAGAGGGUGCAAACGUUGUUCGGAAUUACUGGGCGUAAAGCGCGUGUAGGCUGCUCGGAAAGUCGGAUGUGAAAGCCCUGGGCUUAACCUGGGAAGUGCAUUCGAAACUUCCGAGCUGGAGUUCUGGAGAGGAAGGCGGAAUUCUCGGUGUAGAGGUGAAAUUCGUAGAUAUCGAGAGGAACACCGGUGGCGAAGGCGGCCUUCUGGACAGUGACUGACGCUGAGACGCGAAAGCGUGGGGAGCAAACAGG